ACGGCAGCUUCUGGUCAGGCGCUGAGCUCUGGAGGCCGUUGCCAGCAACGUGUCUCCCUAACAUUUUACCUUUGCGCUGGAAUGGGUGGAUACAGGAAGGUUGAAGCAAAUUUAGGUUUGGCUAGAGCCCUGUCAAGUCCCCCUCUAACGCUGCCACUCAUCUCGGUGAGAGUAACAGUCCUCAGCUGUCCUACCGCUCAAUCUCAGGACAGAGCUGAAGUGAUUCUCCACCAGUUCUCCCUUGCAGGAAACACAACCCAAGAACAUCAAGCGAGUGGCAGGGAAUGUAAAGGUAGUUGGCUCCAGUGAUUGCUAGUCCAGAAGGAUUUGUCCUAUGCCUUCCCAAGGGAGUCAUGGCUAUAUGUAAGAGGCACCAGGCUGCUCCCACAUCCAAAAUAAUCAUUGUAUUCUCCUUAGGUCUCCCCUAACCAGAAUGCUCACAUUCGCUGAAGCAAGGUAGAGAGCAAUGACCAGGAACGUGGAAAGUGAUGUGGAAAGAAGAGGGAUGAGGACUGAGUUUCUCUGGUUACACGCCUCUGGAAAGUUGGUUGUCUAGAUUGCUCAGGUCCAUUUCUUCCAGAUCCUCUUCCUGGGGCUGAGCCUCUUGCCCUGCUCCGCUCCACUGGCCUGGAGGAGUCUUCUGCAAGCACUCGAAAUAACCCAAGAAAGAGUCUUCACUUCACAAAUCUCCACUGAUGCGUGAGCACUUGCUCUCCCUGCCUCCCGCUACCAUCUGCUCUACAUCACCCCCAGUGGACGAACAGUGACGAACAGAAAUGGAUUCAGCACCUAUGGAUCAACAGGCUGGUUACACCCAUUUCCGCAUCACUCUAGUACCACAGUAGGAGUCUCUUGGACUACUCCCACAUCUCCUCUCUUGCAGGCUUUUGAGACCAAGCCUGUUGGGAUGCACACCUGCCCAGAUGUGACCAAGCUGGCUGAGAGUCACUGCUGUCUGCUGAGUUGGGGUGCAGGGCUCCGUCCGGGUGGACUCGAUGCAGGAAGCGCACAGUGUGGAAGGGGAUGCUGAAUGCUCCGAGGUCAGAUCCAGGAAGAUCGAAGCUGUUGCUCCUCCGACUUCCCCAAGGCAGGCGACUUUGUGCUGCAGCUGAGUCUCUAUGUAU